GACGUAGGGCGCGAGCGUUGUCCGGAUUUAUUGGGCGUAAAGAGCUCGUAGGCGGCUUGGCAAGUCGGGUGUGAAAACUCCAGGCUCAACCUGGAGAUGCCACUCGAGACUGCUAUGGCUAGAGUCCGGUAGGGGACCACGGAAUUCCUGGUGUAGCGGUGAAAUGCGCAGAUAUCAGGAGGAACACCGGUGGCGAAGGCGGCUCACUGGACCGGAACUGACGCUGAGGCGCGAAAGCGUGGGGAGCAAACAGG
rnacentral:rRNA from 1 species